AUUUGCAAGUUUUUUUUUUAGAUAAUACAAUUUAUUUUAAAGAAAAUUGUAAAUGCCACUAAGAGCUGUGACCCAUGGAUUCUUUGGGUGACAGGUAUAUGAAAUUCCUUCUUCCUGUUUACUCGUUUGGUGCUGUGAUCUCCCAGCUGUUGUUAUUAAUUCCCACUGAGCCUAAUUUAAACCAAAAGCUCGCUGUGGAGACUGAGUUUCAUCAGACGACACUCCUGGGAAGCCUCCAAUGCUACAAUACUACAUUUUGGUUUGCCAAACAAGUUAAAUUUCUCACAUUCCUCUUAAAACUUUAGAGCAACUGACCUAAGAAUGCAUUAAAGCAAUACUUGAGCUGUGUCUCCACCUGAAGAUCUCACAAAGCACUAACAUUCAUUAACACUCAUCUCCAGGGCCCAGCCUCUUCUUGUGCCGUGCGAGGUAAACUUCCUUCUGCCAAGAAGAUUAAGAGUUUGACAUCACACAGGAUAUAUAUAUAUGCUGGUCAUUUUACCAACCGUCAUCUUCUUACAUCUUCUACGAUGGCCUGCGGUCAACACUAACCAUUCAUCGGAAGAGAGCCGGCCCAAGGCAGUAUGUUCAGUCACCAUUCAUUGUCUGAGGACCCUGACCUCUUGUUUAAAUGCCACAAAGAAACACAUAUCCACCUCCAAGAUGCAUCCUAGAUGCACACUUACAGCACACUACACUUGUCCCAGUUUGUCUUAGUUAGGGUUCCCAUUGUUGUGGAACAGCAAAGAGACCGUGACCAAGGCAACUCUUAUAAAGGAUAACAUUUAAUUGGGCUUGGCUUACAGUUAUUUUCAAGGCAGGAAGCACGGCGGCAUCCGAACAGUCAUGGCAAUGGAGGAACUGAGAGGUCUACAUCUUGUUCUGAAGUCAAAUAUAAGGAGACUGGCUCCUAUGUGACUAGGAGGACGGUAUCAAAGCCCACCCUCACCGUGAUACCCUUCCUCCAACAAGGCCACACCUACUCCAAAAAGGCCACACCUCCUAACAGUUCUGUUCCCUGGGCCAAGCAUAUUCAAACCUCCACACAGUUCAAAGUCACUCCAGUCUAAUCUACACCAGCAGAGAGUUAUUUCAUCAGUUGCCAGAUUUUGGGAUGUCUGCACUCUACCUUCCAUUCCCUACUGGCUUUCCAAAGCAAGAGAAACAGAAAUGGGUGGGAAGGGAAACAGGAGCCCAGGGUGCUGUGCGCUGGCACAUACUGAGUCUUACAAACAUAGGAGGCUUCAAAAAUGUCCUACACACUCCAACUGAGACAUGCAGAAAUUUGUUAUUUCUUUAUUUUGGUCUUUUUCCUAAGUCUCCAACUGCUCGCUAAUAGGAAAAACAUAUUGUUAAUGUUCAAGUCCGUUCAAAUCAUAAUACAGUCUAAUCAUUUAAAGAGACCAUUUGAGAAAUGCCAAGUUUCCCUUUGAAAAAUAACUGAGGCUCUGAGGAAGAUUCCCCUCCUCUGCUGCUUUUUUUGGAGAAGUCCAGGUGCGUGGGAGGAAGGGACAUGAUUGAUGCGUCUGAUGUCAAGGGGAGACACAUGCUCUCAGAUCCUACCUACACUGUGGCUCCAGAGUCCCCUGUCAUGUCAGCUGGUGGUGAAGCAUAUGAUGUGGCCCCCUGGGCUUGAUCAAGACCAGAAGGUCUCCACAGCUGACUUCACCUCACUCUGGCCUGGGCGUUUGCUAUGUUGCAGUUUCCUCACUGUGUCUCAGUUUGCCCUCUGGUUGACGUUGAUUCUUUCUUGCACUGAAGAUCACAGGAACAGGCAUACCGUCCAAGCCCCAGGGACUGCAAGGGAAGUGCUCCACAGGUAUAGUAGGCCUCCUCCAGCUCAGCUGGUUUGAGACAGCUGCACCAGAACUUCCCUCAACCCAGAGUCCCCAACUCAGAGAAGGAAGUCACAACAGGCUGGCACUUCCACACCCAUGGAGAGAAGCUGGGCAUCUUACGACUACUUCACUGUUCUGUAUGCACCCAACUAAAUUCUACACACACUAAACGGGAAGGAAGAUGAUAUUUCCAAAGGGCAACAGAAAUUGGAAAUAGUCAGGAAACCCAAAGCUUACUACACUACGGUCCAACCAGAAAAGAGCAACAAACCCCACACAGCAUUCACAUGUCGAAGCAAGUGAACCCCAGACUUACUUCCCGGCUUUUGGAGUCUUUCAGUCACUAACCAUUUGCUUCUUAUUGCUCACCAAAGUACAAUGCGUAAUCUGUGGGGUACUAUGUGACUUAGACAUAGCAUGCCUGGCUUGUUACCAUCCUUACGGAAAAGCCCAUGAACAAGGUUAUUAAAUCUUUCUUUUAAUGUUGAGGCCACCGAGCCUCAGUGGGAGAGAAACACACACAUUUACCCCAGGACUCACACAAAAUAGAUUCCAGAUCAUGGCACUGAACUAUGGGCUUCUGACAUCGAGGUUUUGGGGUCCAUGUGUUCACAGAGUCAAACUCUUAGUGCCACAGUGGUAUCCAGCCUCUGUGGGGAGCAGAACCAAGUGCCAAGUUUGGGACCUUAUGAGAGAGGUAGGUCAGCCAACCAGUCCUGACCAGUGGAGCGAGUACAAGAACUCAGAGGGACGUGGGGAGCUCCAUCAAACUAGAAACUCCUCAAAAGCUGAGGUAACUUCUACAGGAAAACAUGCUCUUGCCAGAGGAAAGACCAAAGGUUUCUCCAGAGUCCAGCAGAACAGUGUCAUUUGAAAAUCUCCUUGAGGGCUGAAGAGAUGGCUCAGUGGUUAAGAACACUGACUGUUCUUCCAGAGGUCCUGAGUUCAAAUCCAACCACAUGGUGGCUCACAACCAUAUGUAAUGGGAUCCAAUGCCCUCUUCUGGUGUGUCUGAAGACAGCUACAGUGUGCUCAUAUAUAAAUAAAUCUUUAAAAAAGAUCUCCUUGAACCUACUGAUUACUUGAAGCAGCCAGCCAAACUCUGCCUAUGGUAUAGUCUGAACUUUGUUUUGCUUCUCAUCAAAAUAAAGUCUGGAAAGUAAGAAA
ensembl:lncRNA